UACGUAGGGUGCGAGCGUUGUCCGGAAUUACUGGGCGGAAAGAGCUCGUAGGUGGUUUGUCGCGUUGUUCGUGAAAACUCACAACUCAAUUGUGGGCGUGCGGGCGAUACGGGCAGACUGGAGUACUGCAGGGGAGACUGGAAUUCCUGGUGUAGCGGUGGAAUGCGCAGAUAUCAGGAGGAACACCGGUGGCGAAGGCGGGUCUCUGGGCAGUAACUGACGCUGAGGAGCGAAAGCGUGGGGAGCGAACAGG
rnacentral:rRNA from 1 species